rnacentral:sRNA from 1 species
UUCCCCCAGGGAAAGAAGAGNGAAUCCGAGGGAGCUUGCUCCCNNNGAUUAGCUUUCCCUCCCCGAGUAACAAAAAAGNAAUCUGCCUAUAAGACUGGGAUAACUUCCGGAAACCGGAGCUAAUACCGGAUAAUUCUUUUCUACACAUGUAGAAAAGCUAAAAGACGGUUUGCGCUGUCACUUAUAGAUGGGCCCGCGGCGCAUUAGCUAGUUGGUGAGGUAACGGCUCACCAAGGCCACGAUGCGUAGCCGACCUGAGAGGGUGAUCGGCCACACUGGGACUGAGACACGGCCCAGACUC